rnacentral:rRNA from 1 species
AGCUAGUAAGACCCCUUGAAGACUACAAGGUUGAUAGGUCAGAGGUGUAAGUGCGGUAACGUAUUUAGCUGACUGAUACUAAUAGGUCGAGGGCUUGACCAA